CAGACGUCUCGUUGUGCAGAGACCGGCAGUGCUGCUGAGAGAAAAAUGUCUCCCCUCGGAUGCUGCAGACAAAGAAUAACACUGCUCCCUCCAGACCAAACACAGUGCCUUUGGUGUCAGACAGAGGUAGAGUUUAAACUGUUGAACUCGUAAAAGAGCUUCAUCACGCUCCUCAUUGGCAAGUCUGAGUCGGGCCAUCACUGCCUCAUCCCUCUCACGCUGAGCACGAUAUACCUCUUCCACCAAGCCUACAAAAGUAACAAUUGAACAUGAUCAUGUUUCAUAAAAAUUAAUUAAAAUUAACAUAAUUGUUACGUUA